rnacentral:tmRNA from 1 species
GGGGGUGAAACGGUUUCGACGUUGAGUGUUGAUGCGUUGGAAGCGAGCCGGGGUCUCCGGGGCCUCGUUAACAAACCGGAACAACCAAUAGGUGCCGAAGAUAACUUCGCCCUGGCUGCCUAAUUAAGUAG